rnacentral:rRNA from 1 species
UACGUAGGGUGCAAGCGUUAAUCGGAAUUACUGGGCGUAAAGCGUGCGCAGGCGGUUUCAUAAGACAGAUGUGAAAGCCCCGGGCUUAACCUGGGAAUGGCAUUUGUGACUGUGAGGCUAGAGUGUGUCAGAGGGGGGUGGAAUUCCGCGUGUAGCAGUGAAAUGCGUAGAUAUGCGGAGGAACACCGAUGGCGAAGGCAGCCCCCUGGGAUAACACUGACGCUCAGGCACGAAAGCGUGGGGAGCAAACAGG